UGAGGAAUAUUGGUCAAUGGUCGGGAGACUGAACCAGCCAAGCCGCGUGAGGGAGGAAGGUACAGAGUAUCGUAAACCUCUUUUGUCAGGGAACAAAGGCGGGGACGUGUCCCCGGAUGAGUGUACCUGAAAGAAAAAGCAUCGGCUAACUCCGUGCC
rnacentral:rRNA from 1 species